GCCUAAAGCGUCCGUAGCCUGUUCUAUAAGUUUCCGGUUAAAUCCAUUAGCUCAACUAAUGGGCUGCCGAAAAUACUGUAGAACUAGGGAGUGGGAGAGGUAGACGGUAUUCGGUAGGAAGGGGUAAAAUCCUUUGAUCUAUUGAGGACCACCUGUGGCGAAGGCGGUCUACCAGAACACGUUCGACGGUGAGGGAUGAAAGCUGGGGGAGCAAACCGGAUUAGAUACCCGGGUAGUCCCAGCCGUAAACGAUGCAGACUCGGUGAUGCGCUGGCUUGUGGCCAGUGCAGUGCCGCAGGGAAGCCGUUAAGUUUGCCGCCUGGGAAGUACGUACGCAAGUAUGAAACUUAAAGGAAUUGGCGGGGGAGCACCACAAGGGGUGAAGCCUGCGGUUCAAUUGGAGUCAACGCCAGAAAUCUUACCCGAAGAGACAGCAGAAUGAAGGUCAAGCUGGAGACUUUACCAGACAAGCUGAGAAGUGGUGCAUGGCCGUCGCCAGCUCGUGCCGUGAGAUGUCCUGUUAAGUCAGGUAACGAGCGAGAUCCCUGCCUCUAGUUGCCACCAUUACUCUCAGGAGUAGUGGGGCGAAUUAGCGGGACCGCCGCAGUUAAUGCGGAGGAAGGAAGGGGCCACGGCAGGUCAGUAUGCCC
rnacentral:rRNA from 1 species